rnacentral:rRNA from 1 species
AUUGAACGCUGGCGGCAGGCCUAACACAUGCAAGUCGAACGAGUGGCGGAAGUGUGUGUCAUGUCUGUGACACUGCUCGAUGGCUGGGGAUAACUACUGGAACCGGUACCUAAUACCGCAUACCAUCCGAUGUGCCCAGGUGGGACUAGCCAGUAGGUGGGGGAACGGCUCACCUCGGCGACGAUCCAGAGCUGGUAUGAGAGGGUGAACGGCAACACUGGAACUGUGACACGGUCCAGACUCCGACGGGAGGCAGCAGGGGGGAAUAUUGCACAAUGGGCGAAAGCCUGACGCAGCCAUGCAGCGUGUAUGAAGAAGGCCUUCGGGUUGUAAAGUACUUUCAGCGAGGAGGCGUUACCCGCAGAAGAAGCAUCGGCUAACUCCGUGCCAGCAGCCGCGGUAAUUC